UUGAAAGGGAAACGAUUGAAGUCAGUCGUGCUGGCGCGAAAUCAACCUUCUCGUCUUGAGAUCACAUGGCGUGGCGAGCCUCAAAACCGUCACGAAGCGUGAACUCUUGGUGAAAUGGAGCACUUUCGUGUCCGCUGGUUAACAUCAAUUUCGAACGUCAUAAAAAGGCUGGAGGGAUGUGGCUCCUUCGGGAGUGUUAUAACCUUUAGCGGAAUGUGGUGUUCGGGAUUGAGGAUUGCAACGAAAACCUUUAGGGCUGUUCCACCUGGCUUCUCUUUGGUAUCCUGGUGACGACAGCUUGCUGACGUCGUUAGGAUUCGCCUUUGAACAGGUUAGAGUGUGAGCAAAUUCGUUAAGGAUGUUGACGUA
rnacentral:rRNA from 1 species